rnacentral:rRNA from 1 species
UGCGUAGACGGUUAUGUAAGUCAGGUGUGAAAGCCCUGGGCUCAACCUGGGAAUUGCAUUCGAAGCUGCAUAGCUAGGGUGCGGAAGAGGGAAGCGGAACUUCCGGUGUAGCGGUGAAAUGCGUAGAUAUCGGAAAGAACACCAGUGGCGAAAGCGGCUUCCUGGUCCAGCACCGACGUUCAGGCACGAAAGCGUGGGGAGCAAACAGGAUUAGAUACCCUGGUAGUCCACGCCAUAAACGAUGAGAACUAGACGUUGAGAGGGUAAGCCUCACAGUGUCGUAGCUAACGCGCUAAGUUCUCCGCCUGGGGAGUACGGCCGCAAGGUUGAA